rnacentral:rRNA from 1 species
GACGAACGCUGGCGGCGUGCUUAACACAUGCAAGUCGAACGGAAAGGCCCUGCCUUUGUGGGGUGCUCGAGUGGCGAACGGGUGAGUAACACGUGAGUAACCUGCCCUUGACUUUGGGAUAACUUCAGGAAACUGGGGCUAAUACCGGAUAGGAGCUCCUGCUGCAUGGUGGGGGUUGGAAAGUUUCGGCGGUUGGGGAUGGACUCGCGGCUUAUCAGCUUGUUGGUGGGGUAGUGGCUUACCAAGGCUUUGACGGGUAGCCGGCCUGAGAGGGUGACCGGCCACAUUGGGACUGAGAUACGGCCCAGACUCCUACGGGAGGCAGCAGUGGGGAAUAUUGCACAAUGGGCGGAAGCCUGAUGCAGCAACGCCGCGUGCGGGAUGACGGCCUUCGGGUUGUAAACCGCUUUCGCCUGUGACGAAGUGUGAGUGACGGUAAUGGGUAAAGAAGCACCGGCUAACUACGUG